UACAGAGGUCUCAAGCGUUGUUCGGAUUCAUUGGGCGUAAAGGGUGCGUAGGCGGUCGCGCAAGUCGGAUGUGAAAUCUCAGGGCUCAACCCUGAAACUGCAUUCGAUACUGCGUGGCUAGAGUGCUGGAGAGGAGACUGGAAUUUACGGUGUAGCAGUGAAAUGCGUAGAUAUCGUAAGGAAGACCAGUGGCGAAGGCGGCUCACUGGACCAUUACUGACGCUGAUGCACGAAAGCUAGGGGAGCAAACAGG
rnacentral:rRNA from 1 species